GAUGAACGCUGGCGGCGUGCCUAAUACAUGCAAGUCGAGCGAACAGACGAGGAGCUUGCUCCUCUGACGUUAGCGGCGGACGGGUGAGUAACACGCGGAUAACCUACCUAUAAGACUGGGAUAACUUCGGGAAACCGGAGCUAAUACCGGAUAAUAUAUUGAACAGCAUGGUUCAAUAGUGAAAGACGGUUUUGCUGUCACUUAUAGAUGGAUCCGCGCCGCAUUAGCUAGUUGGUAAGGUAACGGCUUACCAAGGCAACGAUGCGUAGCCGACCUGAGAGGGUGAUCGGCCAGCCGGGAACUGAGACACGGUCCAGACUCCUACGGGAGGCAGCAGUAGGGAAUCUUCCGCAAUGGGCGAAAGCCUGACGGAGCAACGCCGCGUGAGUGAUGAAGGUCUUCGGAUCGUAAAACUCUGUUAUUAGGGAAGAACAAAUGUGUAAGUAACUAUGCACGUCUUGACGGUACCUAAUCAGAAAGCCACGGCUAACUACGUG
rnacentral:rRNA from 1 species